ensembl:rRNA 5S_rRNA 5S ribosomal RNA
GCUUACGACCACACCUCCCUCAGCACGCCCGAUCUCGGAAGCUUAGCAGGGUCGGGCCUGGUUAGUACUUAGAUGGGAGACCGCCUGGGAAUACCAGGUGUGCUGUAAGCC